rnacentral:rRNA from 1 species
UACAGAGGUCUCAAGCGUUGUUCGGAUUCAUUGGGCGUAAAGGGUGCGUAGGCGGCGCGGUAAGUCGGGUGUGAAAUCUCGGAGCUUAACUCCGAAACUGCAUUCGAUACUGCCGUGCUUGAGGACUGGAGAGGAGACUGGAAUUUACGGUGUAGCGGUGGAAUGCGUAGAUAUCGUAAGGAAGACCAGUGGCGAAGGCGGGUCUCUGGACAGUUCCUGACGCUGAGGCACGAAGGUCAGGGGGAGCAAACGGG